ACAUUUAGAAGUCGGGAAGAAAAUGGGGAAUCAGGAAAGGAGUCAGAUAAGAAGAGAAUUGGGGGAUGGGCUCUCCCACAUAGGCACCAAGUGAAGACAGCUUUUCAAGGAAGAAGGAGCAAUCCACCAUGCCAGCUGCUUCCUGUUUGCCAUGUCAUGAAUUGUUUUGCCUCUGCCAUUCCCCUCUGCCAUGCUGCCCUGCCUUGGAACCAGCUGACUGGCCAGCCUGCCCCCGGAGCCUGUUCAUGCUUGGAUUGUAAGAAAAGAAACUUCCCAGGUGGUCCACCUGUUAACACUUGAGUUGCAAGAAAAGAAACUUCCCAGAACUGUUCCAAACGCAAAAGUCAGUCCUGUCUAGGAGGAUACCUGAUGAUGACCGUGUCACACUCUGAUGCCCAUACCUGGUUCACCCACAGAGACCCUCCCCCCAGAACAACCCUUAAAAACCCUUUCCCCAGGCCAAACUGGCAGCUAUCUUGGUCCACAAGGCAGUCUACCCCACCCCCACUCCCGCCCAAUAAAGCUCUUUUCUGGUCUGGUUUCCCAUGGGUUCUGGUCCAUCACUGUGGACUGAAAUCACUCAACUUUAAGCUAAAAUAAACCUUUUCUCUUUUAA